rnacentral:tRNA from 1 species
UGCAUCUGCCGGGAAUCGAACCCGGUCCGCCCGCGUGGCAAGCGAGCAUUCUACCACUGAACCAUC